rnacentral:rRNA from 1 species
CCUACGGGUGGCAGCAGUGAGGAAUAUUGGUCAAUGGACGAGAGUCUGAACCAGCCAAGUAGCGUGAAGGAUGACUGCCCUAUGGGUUGUAAACUUCUUUUAUAUGGGAAUAAAAUGUUCCACGUGUGGGAUUUUGUAUGUACCAUAUGAAUAAGGAUCGGCUAACUCCGUGCCAGCAGCCGCGGUAAUACGGAGGAUCCGAGCGUUAUCCGGAUUUAUUGGGUUUAAAGGGAGCGUAGGUGGAUUGUUAAGUCAGUUGUGAAAGUUUGCGGCUCAACCGUAAAAUUGCAGUUGAAACUGGCAGUCUUGAGGACAGUAGAGGUGGGCGGAAUGCGUGGUGUAGCGGUGAAAUGCUUAGAUAUCACGAAGAACUCCGAUUGCGAAGGCAGUUCACUGGACUGCAACUGACACUGAGGCUCGAAAGUGUGGGUAUCAAACAGGAUUAGAUACCCUUGUAGUC